AACAAUCUGCUACUGCUGCUGCCCAUGAUUCCAUGUCAUCAUGGUGCGGAUGGCAUACGGAUCAUGGUUCACUUACAGGUCUUACACGUGGCAUGUUUUCGAGAAAUGGUGUAGGAGUAGUUUGCCCUGAUAGUGCUGUUGGCCUUUACAUAAGAACACGAACCGGUGAAAUAGUUAAAGUGGAGUAUGGGGAGGAUGAAAUAACAUACCAAAUAGGUGAAACAACUGAGAUCCUCUCAAGUGGUAGGCUUUGUGCGACACCACACUGUGUUCGGGCACCACAGGGCGAGGGUGAGGGUGACGCUGCAGCUGGCUGGCCUUUACAUAAGUACGAGAACUGGUGAAAUAGUUAAAGUGGAGUAUGGGGAGGAUGAAAUAGCAUACCAAAUAGGUGAAACAACUGAGAUCCUCUCAAGUGGUAGGCUUUGUGCGACACCACACUGUGUUC
rnacentral:lncRNA from 1 species